rnacentral:rRNA from 1 species
GACGAACGCUGGCGGCGUGCUUAACACAUGCAAGUCGAACGGAAAGGCCCUGCUUUUGUGGGGUGCUCGAGUGGCGAACGGGUGAGUAACACGUGAGUAACCUGCCCUUGACUUUGGGAUAACUUCAGGAAACUGGGGCUAAUACCGGAUAGGAGCUCCUGCUUCAUGGUGGGGGUUGGAAAGUUUCGGCGGUUGGGGAUGGACUCGCGGCUUAUCAGCUUGUUGGUGGGGUAGUGGCUUACCAAGGCUUUGACGGGUAGCCGGCCUGAGAGGGUGACCGGCCACAUUGGGACUGAGAUACGGCCCAGACUCCUACGGGAGGCAGCAGUGGGGAAUAUUGCACAAUGGGCGGAAGCCUGAUGCAGCAACGCCGCGUGCGGGAUGACGGCCUUCGGGUUGUAAACCGCUUUCGCCUGUGACGAGGCGUGAGUGACGGUAAUGGGUAAAGAAGCACCGGCUAACUACGUG